rnacentral:rRNA from 1 species
AGAUUGAACGCUGGCGGCAUGCCUUACACAUGCAAGUCGAAUGGUAGAGUAGCAAUACUUGAGAGUGGCGAACGGGUGAGUAAUAUAUCGGAACGUGCCCAGUCGUGGGGGAUAACGUAGAGAAAUUUACGCUAAUACCGCAUACGAUCUAAGGAUGAAAGCGGGGGACCGUAAGGCCUCGCGCGAUUGGAGCGGCUGAUAUCAGAUUAGGUUGUUGGUGAGGUAAAAGCUCACCAAGCCGACGAUCUGUAGCUGGUUUGAGAGAACGACCAGCCACACUGGGACUGAGACACGGCCCAGACUCCUACGGGAGGCAGCAGUGGGGGAAUUUUGGACAAUGGGCGAAAGCCUGAUCCAGCAAUGCCGCGUCGCAGGAAGAAGGCCGUUCGGGUUGGUAAAC